rnacentral:rRNA from 1 species
CCUACGGGAGGCAGCAGUGGGGAAUAUUGGACAAUGGGGGGAACCCUGAUCCAGCCAUGCCGCGUGUGUGAAGAAGGCCCUCGGGUUGUAAAGCACUUUCAGUGAGGAAGAACGCCUGGUGGUUAAUACCCAUCAGGAAAGACAUCACUCACAGAAGAAGCACCGGCUAACUCCGUGCCAGCAGCCGCGGUAAUACGGAGGGUGCGAGCGUUAAUCGGAAUUACUGGGCGUAAAGCGCGCGUAGGUGGCUUGAUAAGCCGGUUGUGAAAGCCCCGGGCUCAACCUGGGAACGGCAUCCGGAACUGUCAAGCUAGAGUGCAGGAGAGGAAGGUAGAAUUCCCGGUGUAGCGGUGAAAUGCGUAGAGAUCGGGAGGAAUACCAGUGGCGAAGGCGGCCUUCUGGACUGACACUGACGCUGAGGUGCGAAAGCGUGGGUAGCAAACAGGAUUAGAUACCCCGGUAGUC